rnacentral:rRNA from 1 species
AACGAACACUGGCGGCGUGCCUAACACAUGCAAGUCGCACGACGGGUUGGAUGGGGCUCGCUCCAUUUGACUACGGAGUGGCGGACGGGUGAGUAACGCGUAGGUAACCUGCCCUGAAGCGGGGGAUAGCCCGGGGAAACCCGGAUUAAUACCGCAUAAGCCCACGGACUGGGAUGUCUGUGAGAAAAGGAGCAAUCCACUUCAGGAUGGGCCUGCGUCCUAUCAGCUAGUUGGUGGGGUAAUGGCCUACCAAGGCAGAGACGGGUAGCCGGACUGAGAGGUUGAACGGCCACACUGGAACUGAGACACGGUCCAGACUCCUACGGGAGGCAGCAGUGGGGAAUUUUGCGCAAUGGGCGAAAGCCUGACGCAGCGACGCCGCGUGGAGGACGAAGGCCUUCGGGUUGUAAACUCCUUUAGUGCGGGAAGAAGCCGCAAGGUGACGGUACCGCAAGAAUAAGCCACGGCUAACUCCGUGCCAGCAGCCGCGGUAAAAC